rnacentral:rRNA from 1 species
UACGUAUGGUGCAAGCGUUAUCCGGAUUUACUGGGUGUAAAGGGAGCGUAGGCGGCGGGGCAAGCCUGAUGUGAAAGCCCGGGGCUCAACCCCGGGACUGCAUUGGGAACUGCCCUGCUGGAGUGCCGGAGGGGCAGGCGGAAUUCCUAGUGUAGCGGUGAAAUGCGUAGAUAUUAGGAGGAACACCAGUGGCGAAGGCGGCCUGCUGGACGGUGACUGACGCUGAGGCUUGAAAGCGUGGGGAGCAAACAGG